rnacentral:rRNA from 1 species
AUUGAACGCUGGCGGCAUGCCUUACACAUGCAAGUCGAACGGCAGCGCGGGAGCAAUCCUGGCGGCGAGUGGCGAACGGGUGAGUAAUACAUCGGAACGUGCCCAAUCGUGGGGGAUAACGCAGCGAAAGCUGUGCUAAUACCGCAUACGAUCUACGGAUGAAAGCAGGGGAUCGCAAGACCUUGCGCGCAUGGAGCGGCCGAUGGCAGAUUAGGUAGUUGGUGAGGUAAAGGCUCACCAAGCCUUCGAUCUGUAGCUGGUCUGAGAGGACGACCAGCCACACUGGGACUGAGACACGGCCCAGACUCCUACGGGAGGCAGCAGUGGGGAAGUUUGGACAAUGGGCGAAAGCCUGAUCCAGCCAUGCCGCGUGCAGGAUGAAGGCCUUCGGGUUGUAAACUGCUUUUGUACGGAACGAAACGGUCUUUUCUAAUAAAGAAGGCUAAUGACGGUACCGUAAGAAUAAGCACCGGCUAACUACGU